AGUGAACGCUUGCGGUAGUCCUAACACAUGCAAGUCGAACUGCAUCACAGUAAGAGCUUGCUCUUACGGGUGGCGAGUUUCGGACGGGUGAGGAAUACAUCGGAAUCUACUUUUUCGUGGGGGAUAACGUAGGGAAACUUACGCUAAUACCUCAUACGACCUACGGGUGAAAGCAGGGGAUCUUCGUACCUUGCGCGAUUGUAUGAGCCGAUGUCGUAUUCGCUAGUUGGAGGGGUAAAGGCCCACCAAGGCGACGAUCCGUAGCUGGUCUGAGAGGAUGAUAAGCCAAACUGGAACUGAGACACGGUACAGACUCCUACGGGAGGAAGCAGUGGGGAAUAGUGGACAAAAGGAGCAAGCCUGAUCCAGCCAUAACGCGUAGGUGAAGAAGGCAUUCGGGUAAUAAAGCCAUUUUGUUGAGAAAGAAAAGCAGAAGGUUAAUACCCCGCUGUUCUGACGGUACCCAAAGAAUAAGAACCGGCUAACUUAGUG
rnacentral:rRNA from 1 species